rnacentral:rRNA from 1 species
GACGAACGCUGGCGGCGUGCUUAACACAUGCAAGUCGAACGGACAGGCCCUGCUUUUGUGGGGUGCUCGAGUGGCGAACGGGUGAGUAACACGUGAGUAACCUGCCCUUGACUUUGGGAUAACUUCAGGAAACUGGGGAUAAUACCGGAUAGGAGCUCCUGCUGCAUGGUGGGGGUUGGAAAGUUUCGGCGGUUGGGGAUGGACUCGCGGCUUAUCAGCUUGUUGGGGGGGUAGUGGCUUACCAAGGCUUUGACGGGUAGCCGGCCUGAGAGGGUGACCGGCCACAUUGGGACUGAGAUACGGACCAGACUCCUACGGGCGGCAGCAGUGGGGAAUAUUGCACAAUGGGCGGAAGCCUGAUGCAGCAACGCUGCGUGCGGGAUGACGGCCUUCGGGUUGUAAACCGCUUUCGCCUGUGACGAAGCGUGAGUGACGGUAAUGGGUAAAGAAGCACCGGCUAACUACGUG